rnacentral:rRNA from 1 species
UAAGACGAACCGUACGAACGUUAUUCGGAAUUACUGGGCUUAAAGGGUGCGUAGGCUGUGCGGAAAGUUGGGUGUGAAAUCCUCCAGCUCAACUGGGGAACUGCGCUCAAAACUACCGUGCUCGAGGGAGACAGAGGUGAGCGGAACUUAGGGUGGAGCGGUGAAAUGCGUUGAUAUCCUAAGGAACACCGGUGGCGAAAGCGGCUCACUGGGUCUCUUCUGACGCUGAGGCACGAAAGCUAGGGGAGCAAACGGGAUUAGAUACCCCGGUAGUCCUAGCUGUAAACUCUGAGCACUGGAUCGAAGGGUCCUCCAUAGCCUUUCGGUCGUAGCGAAAGUGGUAAGUGCUCCGCCUGGGGAGUAUGGUCGCAAGGCUGAAACUUAAAUGAAUUGACGG